UCAAAGCACAGCUGGGAUGUCUAACCUCUUACCCUGCUUUUCCCAUGAAGCAUCUCUGAAUUGCGCUGAGCGCUUCCAGUUGCGCCAUCUUGGAAACCAGGCGCCGAGCCAGCGCGGACACCCAUGAGCCCUGGGGAAAAGGCCCGCCCCGCGCCAACCAGCCACAUCCUGGAGAGGGGCCAGGGCUGCCAGGCCUCACAGGGCGUUCACAGCAGGAGUGGCACUGCGUGAGACUAACUCAGACAAGAGACCCUUUCUGUGCCUACAUCCUGCCUUUGCCUCUCCUGACUUCUCUGACGAAGGCUUGCAACUAAGCCAAAUGACCAUGUAAAUGGAAAAUGACUAGAAGAGAUAAAUACUGGAGCGAAACAAUGCACACAAAUUAUAUCUGCCUCAAGAAGAAGAGUAAUUUCCUUUGUUUCUCUCACAAAAGCAGGCCAAAUUCCAAGCGGCUUGCGGAGGAGCAUCCACCCCGGAAGGCCGGUGGAGAGUGCUGCUGUUGAUGGAGGAGGAAGGGUCCCGGACCAGCAGUGCUAUCCACAGGGUACAGAAAAGCAAAAAAGGCCUCGUGCUGGAUGCUGGAUUUACUUUCUUGGAGAGAAAGCCCUGGGGUGACUUGGCAGGGGCUGUCACACAGUGACUACCAGGGCCACAUGAAGAGAUGUUAGAGGAAGGCAGAGAGGAUUUAAUAUCAAAACUCUAAACCCCUGAGCAGAAGGCAUGCAACCCAGGAGAUGC